CCUUAUGCAAGCAUUACAAAACCCACUCAGUUCUUUCAGCAAUCAUAUCAGGCAGGCCCAAAGGGAAUAAUUCCCCAAAAGGCAGGGAUAUUAAAAUAUUAAACUGAUAUAGUUUCCAAAAUAAUCCAAUAAAACAAAAAUUCCCCUAUGCAUGCUUAAGCAUAGAACAUUCUUUGAAAGCUACACAGCAAAAAUUCAUGAGAAUAAUAUUUUAUUCAUAGUUUUCCUUUUCAACUAUUCUUUGAAUAGCUCUUGUACACAUACAACAGAACUACAAGCUCAUAAAUAAUGAGUUUCAGUUUUUAUGUAUAGAUUGUAAUUAUUGAAGCAAUUAUGAGAGGAAAUCUGAGGCCACAAUAUUAACACCAAAUGAGAAACAUAGUGGAUUGUUCCCCACAUUGAUAUCAGAGAGAGCAAUUGAGUUGUGUCUUUAUCCAACAUAAAAAUUACUUGAUGCUGAGCAAUUAUAAUGAACAAUUUUAGUUUGGAACCUAAUUUCUACUGGUAUUAAAGAUUCAGAUAUCGUAACAGAAAGAAAAUAGUCAUCACUAAUAGUGUAAGCUGUUUUUUUUGUUUCCCUUUUAGGAACUUUCCACUAUUUUUCCCUCAACUUUCUCAUGUUCUGACAAAAGAUACUUAAAUUUGCAAUAUUUUAAACUUAUUUUCAGCAUGCACAAUCCUGAUUUUAGAAGUUUAUCCAUUUAAUGAUAAUGUGUACAAUACUCAAUCAUUUUUCUAUCCUCAUCAUGCUCCCAAAGGUUAUCCAAUUAAAAAAAAUUCCCCACUAUAAUAACUGAGAAAUUUACAUUAGGAAAAUAAGCAGUGAGAAAAAAAAUUACAUAUCUGAGAAUAAAGAUCACAAGAUAUAAAAGUUUCUCUGAAAUUAAAAAAAAUAUAUUUAGGCCACAGAUUUAAGGAACCAUAUGGGAAUGACUUGCAAUUCAUUUUAUGUAAACAGAGAAGACAACAUUUAUUGGCACAAUUUAAUAUGUAGAUUAGUUUCUGCAUAAAUAGUUUAGAGUUGCGUGAUUGGUAUAUCAAAGAGAGAUAAAUAUAAUUUUAGUAGAUGCCUUGAAGUUUGGAAAGGUCUUCUGUAAGUGGCAUAUUUGCUUAUUUGCUGUUUAAUAGCAAAUUCAAGGUCUGAUGAUGUGACAUGUGAUAACAGCCUUUAGAUGCCUCAUCCCAGGCAGCCUCCUGUACCCCUCUGGUCUGCCUUCCCCACUGGUCUGUGCUAUCAGCUGCAUUAUUCAGUUGCCCAUUAAGUGGGAAUCAAAUCUGUGUCAUUAAGGAGCCCCAGGUCACAAUAAGCCUUCAUUACUUUGCUUAUAGCAGUGUGGCUUUAUUUUGAAUUGGACCACUGAUUAAUACUGUCCAGCUCCUGUUAUACUGAUGAGAUCAUUAUUUAACCUUACACCUUCUGAGGCUAUCAGUUACACAUCAGAGAAGCCUUGCCUUGCAUUCCCCUUGCCAGAAAAAUAUUUUCUUUGGGAGUUCCAGAAGCCAACUUUGUCCCAGUUCUUACAACAAAAUUUCCUCCUCUCUGCCCCACCUGCAAGGCUGGCCUCACGUAAACAGCCAGCCUUGGUCUCGGCCACCAGGGCCUUUGCAGCAAAGACGUGCCCGGGGGAGAAAAAUUCAAUUUGUACUUUUCACUCAACUUUAUAUUUGUGACAUGCAUCCACAGGCAUAAUUUAUUUACUGUCACUGCUAUUUAUUUAUUUAUUUUUAAUUUUAAUUUUUAUUUUUGAGACGGAGUCUCGCUCUGUCGCCCAGGCUGGAGUGCAGUGGCCCAAUCUCGGCUCACUGCACGCUC
rnacentral:lncRNA from 1 species